AAGUCCUCAGCAGUACGAACUAUCGAAACAUCUGAAAUUCAAAAAUAAAUUUCAGUCCUCCCCGCGCUCUCUCCCCACUCAUCAUCUCUCUCGCAACUUCGCCCAUCGGCAUCGUUCGGCGCGUCCAUCUCAUUUUGGCCAAUCAUGCAGCUUUUUCACUUGGGUAGAAAAAAAAAAAUCCUAAAUAUGGUACAAGCAUGACAGAAAGGGAACUAAAUGAACAGUUGGUGUCUGAAGCUGCUCAAAUUCAUUUAAUGAACGAACAUGAGGUAUCCAAAGCACAGGACGAUGAUGGAACCAAAAGUUGUUCGACAUCGAGUAGAACUUGAAAAGCCAAACACUGGAGCAAAAAAUUAGUGACUUUUAGUUAGAGAUAUUUUGAAAACUUAUAAUGUUGUAAGCUUAUAAUGUUGUAAUUAGUGACUUUAGUUAGAGAUAUUAUGGAUUGUAAGUAGGGGAUAUUUUACACUUUCACUUAUUGAUGUAAAUAGUUGUUGGUUAA